rnacentral:rRNA from 1 species
GGAAUCUUGGGCAAUGGGCGAGAGCCUGACCCAGCCAUGCCGCGUGCAGGAAGAAGGCCUUCUGGGUUGUAAACUGCUUUUACCAAGGAAGAAAACGCCCAUGCGUGGGUAACUGACGGUACUUGGUGAAUAAGCACCGGCUAACUCCGUGCCAGCAGCCGCGGUAAUACGGAGGGUGCAAGCGUUGUCCGGAUUUAUUGGGUUUAAAGGGUGCGUAGGCGGCCCAUUAAGUCAGCGGUGAAAUCCCACGGCUCAACCGUGGAACUGCCGUUGAUACUGGUGGGCUUGAGUAAAGUCGAGGCGGGCGGAACUGGUGGUGUAGCGGUGAAAUGCAUAGAUACCACCAAGAACCCCGAUUGCGUAGGCAGCUCGCUAGGCUUUAACUGACGCUGAGGCACGAAAGCGUGGGGAGCGAAC